rnacentral:rRNA from 1 species
GUGUCAGCAGCCGCGGUAAGACGUAGGGGGCGAGCGUUGUCCGGAUUUAUUGGGCGUAAAGCGCGCGUAGGCGGCCGCGCAAGUCGGAUGUGAAAACCCGGGGCUCAACCCCGGGCGUGCAUUCGAUACUGCGCGGCUCGAGACAGGUAGGGGAGAUCGGAAUUCCUGGUGUAGCGGUGAAAUGCGCAGAUAUCAGGAGGAACACCGGUGGCGAAGGCGGAUCUCUGGGCCUGUUCUGACGCUGAGGCGCGAAAGCUAGGGGAGCGAACAGGAUUAGAUACCCUGGUAGUCC